GGGUUGUGAGGUUAAGCGACUAAGCGUACACGGUGGAUGCCCUGGCAGUCAGAGGCGAUGAAGGACGUGCUAAUCUGCGAAAAGCGUCGGUAAGGUGAUAUGAACCGUUAUAACCGGCGAUGUCCGAAUGGGGAAACCCAGUGCAAUUCGUUGCACUAUCGUUAACUGAAUACAUAGGUUAACGAGGCGAACCGGGGGAACUGAAACAUCUAAGUACCCCGAGGAAAAGAAAUCAACCGAGAUUCCCCCAGUAGCGGCGAGCGAACGGGGAGCAGCCCAGAGUCUGAAUCAGCUUGUGUGUUAGUGGAACGGUCUGGAAAGUCCGACGGUACAGGGUGAUAGUCCCGUACACCAAAAUGCACAGGCUGUGAACUCGAAGAGUAGGGCGGGACACGUGGUAUCCUGUCUGAAUAUGGGGGACCAUCCUCCAAGGCUAAAUACUCCUGACUGACCGAUAGUGAACCAGUACCGUGAGGGAAAGGCGAAAAGAACCCCGGCGAGGGGAGUGAAAAAGAACCUGAAACCGUGUACGUACAAGCAGUGGGAGCACCUUCGGGUGUGACUGCGUACCUUUUGUAUAAUGGGUCAGCGACUUAUAUUCUGUAGCAAGGUUAACCGUAUAGGGGAGCCGCAGGGAAACCGAGUCUUAACUGGGCGUUAAGUUGCAGGGUAUAGACCCGAAACCCGGUGAUCUAGCCAUGGGCAGGUUGAAGGUUGGGUAACACUAACUGGAGGACCGAACCGACUAAUGUUGAAAAAUUAGCGGAUGACUUGUGGCUGGGGGUGAAAGGCCAAUCAAACCGGGAGAUAGCUGGUUCUCCCCGAAAGCUAUUUAGGUAGCGCCUCGUGAAUUCAUCUUCGGGGGUAGAGCACUGUUUCGGCUAGGGGGUCAUCCCGACUUACCAACCCGAUGCAAACUACGAAUACCGAAGAAUGUUAUCACGGGAGACACACGGCGGGUGCUAACGUCCGUCGUGAAGAGGGAAACAACCCAGACCGCCAGCUAAGGUCCCAAAGUCAUGGUUAAGUGGGAAACGAUGUGGGAAGGCACAGACAGCCAGGAUGUUGGCUUAGAAGCAGCCAUCAUUUAAAGAAAGCGUAAUAGCUCACUGGUCGAGUCGGCCUGCGCGGAAGAUGUAACGGGGCUAAACCAUGCACCGAAGCUGCGGCAGCGACACUAUGUGUUGUUGGGUAGGGGAGCGUUCUGUAAGCCUGCGAAGGUGACCUGUGAGGGUUGCUGGAGGUAUCAGAAGUGCGAAUGCUGACAUAAGUAACGAUAAAGCGGGUGAAAAGCCCGCUCGCCGGAAGACCAAGGGUUCCUGUCCAACGUUAAUCGGGGCAGGGUGAGUCGACCCCUAAGGCGAGGCCGAAAGGCGUAGUCGAUGGGAAACAGGUUAAUAUUCCUGUACUUGGUGUUACUGCGAAGGGGGGACGGAGAAGGCUAUGUUAGCCGGGCGACGGUUGUCCCGGUUUAAGCAUGUAGGCUGGUUAUCCAGGCAAAUCCGGAUAAUCAAGGCUGAGGUGUGAUGACGAGGCACUACGGUGCUGAAGUAACAAAUGCCCUGCUUCCAGGAAAAGCCUCUAAGCAUCAGGUAACAUCAAAUCGUACCCCAAACCGACACAGGUGGUCAGGUAGAGAAUACCAAGGCGCUUGAGAGAACUCGGGUGAAGGAACUAGGCAAAAUGGUGCCGUAACUUCGGGAGAAGGCACGCUGGUGUGUAGGUGAAGUCCCUGCGGAUGGAGCUGAGACCAGUCGAAGAUACCAGCUGGCUGCAACUGUUUAUUAAAAACACAGCACUGUGCAAACACGAAAGUGGACGUAUACGGUGUGACGCCUGCCCGGUGCCGGAAGGUUAAUUGAUGGGGUUAUCCGUAAGGAGAAGCUCUUGAUCGAAGCCCCGGUAAACGGCGGCCGUAACUAUAACGGUCCUAAGGUAGCGAAAUUCCUUGUCGGGUAAGUUCCGACCUGCACGAAUGGCGUAAUGAUGGCCAGGCUGUCUCCACCCGAGACUCAGUGAAAUUGAACUCGCUGUGAAGAUGCAGUGUACCCGCGGCAAGACGGAAAGACCCCGUGAACCUUUACUAUAGCUUGACACUGAACAUUGAGCCUUGAUGUGUAGGAUAGGUGGGAGGCUUUGAAGCGUGGACGCCAGUCUGCGUGGAGCCAACCUUGAAAUACCACCCUUUAAUGUUUGAUGUUCUAACGUUGGCCCCUUACCGGGGUUGCGGACAGUGUCUGGUGGGUAGUUUGACUGGGGCGGUCUCCUCCCAAAGCGUAACGGAGGAGCACGAAGGUUAGCUAAUCCUGGUCGGACAUCAGGAGGUUAGUGCAAUGGCAUAAGCUAGCUUGACUGCGAGCGUGACGGCGCGAGCAGGUGCGAAAGCAGGUCAUAGUGAUCCGGUGGUUCUGAAUGGAAGGGCCAUCGCUCAACGGAUAAAAGGUACUCCGGGGAUAACAGGCUGAUACCGCCCAAGAGUUCAUAUCGACGGCGGUGUUUGGCACCUCGAUGUCGGCUCAUCACAUCCUGGGGCUGAAGUAGGUCCCAAGGGUAUGGCUGUUCGCCAUUUAAAGUGGUACGCGAGCUGGGUUUAGAACGUCGUGAGACAGUUCGGUCCCUAUCUGCCGUGGGCGCUGGAGAAUUGAGGGGGGCUGCUCCUAGUACGAGAGGACCGGAGUGGACGCAUCACUGGUGUUCGGGUUGUCAUGCCAAUGGCACUGCCCGGUAGCUAAAUGCGGAAGAGAUAAGUGCUGAAAGCAUCUAAGCACGAAACUUGCCCCGAGAUGAGUUCUCCCUGAGACUUUAAGUCUCCUGAAGGAACGUUGAAGACGACGACGUUGAUAGGCCGGGUGUGUAAGCGCAGCGAUGCGUUGAGCUAACCGGUACUAAUGAACCGUGAGGCUUAACCUUACAACGCCGAAG
rnacentral:rRNA from 1 species